AAAUAUCACUUUGGAGGCUAUGUGCAGAUCAGAUUUGGAAGUGACCAAGACUGGAGGCAGGGACACCAGAGUUUUCUGUUAAAAACUGGUCCAUGCAAGAAAAGAUGACUCCUGAAAUAAGACAGUGAUCAUUAGGAUGAAGAGGAAGAGAAGAUUUGAGGAAUACUUAGAACAGAAUUUACUGAAUUUACUGGUUGAAUUGAAUGUGAAGAGGAGAUGAAUAAAGAAGAAAACACCCUCAAAGGAACAAAUAUGAAACAAUCUCUGGAAAAUGGAAUUUGAUUUUGAUUCAACAACAGGAGAAUUCUGUUUUUCUCCAGCAGCUCCACGAUAAAAGGGAACCCUGAGCAGAACACAUGCACAAACUCAUGCCAUACCCUAAGGGACAAGGUUCCCCACAUCUACUUGGAAAUCUUCGGGAUGCUCAAUGAUUAGCUCUUUGGAACUGAGAGAUGAGAUGAGGCCUGGAAAACUUCCCCCAGUACAGUCAAGUUCCUGUUGACUAAUUCUGUGACCACCAGUGACAGUCUUUGAGUCCGUGAGGCAGCGUUGCGGCAGCACAGGCUUUGCUUGGAGUUGGAUGGUUCGCACCCUGCUUGGCAUGGUUUCUAAGAGACAUCCUCUGAGU
rnacentral:lncRNA from 1 species